rnacentral:lncRNA from 1 species
CAUUUAGCAAAGUGUGAUGAGCGGAUCACCUUUUGAGAAGGGAAGGGAAGCCCUACAAAUGGGAAAGCCACGUGACCUGGAUGGCUCCCCAUGCCAUCCCCUGGGGAAUGAUACGAAUGUGCCCUACAUGGAGGGGGCCAAGACUCAGAGAAACUGCAGGAGCACCCAGCUGCCCAUCAUGACCUCUUCAGUCCACUCUGCUCCCAGGUACCCCACAUCCCUGUGUAUCCCCUCUCCAAACCAACUCAGGCCAGAGAGGGACCUGCCACCGCCUCCUCCUCACCUCUCUGACACAAGAUCCCUGGGGCCUGCACCAAUCAGCCAGCUCCUUCUAGCUCAGAGCAUUCUGGCUUGUUCUCAAAUGAAUGGAUCCUUUGUUAAACCAGUGGCCCUGUCUUCAUUAGAAAGUCCUAACCCCUAAUAGAGGUGUUUUUCAAAGAAACACACAGUGAUUAUCUCAAGCACCAAAGAAACAGGCAUGCACAAGGUAUCAUUUGACGACAGGCAACAGAUACCUCCUCCAGCUGCUAACAAAUCCCACGGCAGACCUGCCCACCUCUGCAGAGAGCUAGAAAUUUAUUUCAUCCCUAG